rnacentral:rRNA from 1 species
UACGAAGGGGGCUAGCGUUGUUCGGAUUUACUGGGCGUAAAGCGCACGUAGGCGGAUUGUUAAGUCAGGGGUGAAAUCCUGGAGCUCAACUCCAGAACUGCCUUUGAUACUGGGAAUCUUGAGUCCGGAAGAGGUGAGUGGAACUGCGAGUGUAGAGGUGAAAUUCGUAGAUAUUCGCAAGAACACCAGUGGCGAAGGCGGCUCACUGGCCCGAUACUGACGCUGAGGUGCGAAAGCGUGGGGAGCAAACAGG